rnacentral:rRNA from 1 species
GACGAACGCUGGCGGCGUGCUUAACACAUGCAAGUCGAACGAUGAAGCCCUUUCGGGGGUACACGAGCGGCGAACGGGUGAGUAACACGUGGGUGACCUGCCCUCAGCUCUGGGAUAAGCCCGGGAAACUGGGUCUAAUACUGGAUAUGACUCCAUGACGCAUGUUGUGGGGUGGAAAGCCUUGUGCGGCUGAGGAUGGGCCCGCGGCCUAUCAGCUUGUUGGGGGGUGAUGGCCUACCAAGGCGACGACGGGUAGCCGGCCUGAGAGGGCGACCGGCCACACUGGGACUGAGACACGGCCCAGACUCCUACGGGAGGCAGCAGUGGGGAAUCUUGCGCAAUGGGCGAAAGCCUGACGCAGCGACGCCGCGUGAGGGAUGACGGCCU